CUUCUGUGCCGCCUAUUUUCUUUUGAAGUGCCUAUAUAAGCUAAUACGCUGAAGCAAUAUUCAAGUGAUGAAAACCGCCAUGUCGAAAGGCUUCAGGAUAAAUAUUGUGACUAUUUCUGCCAUAUUUGCUUUUAUUUUCUUCGCAAUCAUCGGAGCAAAUCAGUCCUGGGCUCUUCGUCAUCAUAAUUUAAACAUUCAGGGCAGGAUGAUGAAAUUAUUCAGGCCUAGCACUACUACACGUCGACCAACUACAACACCACGUCGAGAGAGGUUAAUAUGAAGAAACAGAAGACAGUGGUCGGUGAAGCCAGGUACUUUCAAGGAAAGCCUGUCAAGUGACUUCCUUCUUCUAGUCAGUGGUGGGUCCGAACAUGACGAAGAAUAUCACUGUAGAGCGAAGCCCUUAAAAAUCACACAGAAGAAUAAAAAAAUGUCGACCCAU